ensembl:lncRNA
UAAAUGUACAAAUUAAUUCAUAUGAAUUAGCAUCCAGUAGUUUUGAAUUGCUGUAAGAUUGUGUUGGGUGGCCUGUGGGCAAGCUAAAUAUUUCACCUUUACUUGGUUUCAGAUACCUGGCAUCUAUAUGUGGAUCAGAAAUUCGCCAGAAUCAGUCUUUCACAGG